ensembl:lincRNA
CUUAUGAGCCUUAUUUUUCCCCCAAAUUCCUUAUGAAAUGCUUAUUACACAUAAGCCAUGAUGCUGCUGAAAGUCCUGUUUACUGCUGUGUCCAUGACAACAACCUGCUGUCUGCUCACUCUGUGACUACCUCAUUUCCGAGAAAAAAAUCAAUUCAGUGUUCCUGUAAAUCAGAUCUAUUCAUUUUCAACAGUUGGCUCUUUCAUCCUAUUAAGGACAGCUUUGUUAACUGUCCUGUGGCAUUCUUCGGCUAGCGGUUGACCUGGGAAACCAUCACAUUCUCACGAGGGCUCAUGGAUUUCCAGGGCUUGCUGCUCUGGAUCCCCUUUUCGUGGUUCAUGUUAGUUAUCGAGUAUUUAUUCAAUCCCCGGUUUUUCUGUUUAAUACUCUGUCACUCAGUGCAGCAGCCUUAGAUUCAAGCCUGCACUCCAUCCCGUGUCGACCCUCGAGCUUGCUGACCUGCACCCUCUGACACUCCUGAGGGCUGCCCUUCAAUACCCAUUCUGUUCCCUUUCAGUUGGGGUUGCCAUUGGGUUUUGUUCUUUACCCGAGACUCCCCUUUUUCCAAACAAUGGGCGGUGUUUAGUAGCAUCUUUUCACCAGGAAUGUAGUUAGCUUCUUCUGGGACCUAUGCGCCUCCCUAUUUCUUUUCCAUUACUGGGCUGAUUAAGCCCUGCCAGCCAGUUAUCAAUUAUUUCAUUAUCCCCUCCUUUCACUUUUCACACUCUGGUCUCAUGUGCUUGAGUUCUGACAUCCGCAACGUUACAGUAUCAUCACACCUCAUUACAUACUACACCAAAGUCCCUUUGCCUCUGAGUUACUUCUGGAAUGUUCCACUGUCUCAAAAAGAGUUAAAUUAAUAUCUACCCUUUUUUCUUUCAGACUCAGAUAUUAAAUUCACUAUGUGUUGAAGGCCACGAAGAAGUGCAGACAGUAUGCAUUUGUCUCUUAAUUUGAUCUUCUUGACUUCCACAACUUAUUUUAUAGAACCAGAAGUGACUUUGCCCUGCAAAGACCCUUGAAAAUUCAGGUUUCAGAAUCCCUACCGGAGUCGCCUGUGGAUUUGAUAGACUUCUAACUUUAACAUCUAGAGUUAAAAAGCACUAAAGAAAAGUGACUUAGGGCUUUAUUAUUUUGUGAUAUACUGUGAAAAACUUUGCUUAACACCAGAUCCAUAGAAAUUUCUGCGAAUUAAAUACUGGACAUUUAAAAAAAAAUUAAAGAUGCUCUCUUUAAAAAAAAAAGUAUUCUAGUCACAAAACAGCACAUGAAAGGUCAAAUACUGCUUUAAUUAAAGUUUAAAUUGAAAUUUCUUUUACAAUGGCAAAGCCAUUAUACAGUAUUCAUUUACAAAUAAAUCUCUGCUCCAUCCAUCAAAGAUCCACAUCUGAAAAACAUUUUGGAGAACCAGACAACAAUUUAUUAAUUUAUGCACACAACUACUGCAGUGGUUACCAUUGAUAAGUAAACUAACUUGUCCUGUCCUGCUAUUGGACCUUGUGUAAUAGCAUGGAUUGCAUGUACUGUAAUUUCUGCUGCUGUAUUUCAAACAUGAUGUAACACCGUGACUCCCUCACAAUGGUCAAUCAGUCUUGUGUGGCACUUUUGUCAACAUCAGGAAGCUGAAUUGUGAACAGGAUCUUGUUCUAAAUUCAAAAGCUAAACUUGCAAGAGAUUUCCAACUUUGUUGUUUAUCAUACACACUAGCUUAAUAAAAUACAAGCUAAUUUACAACUCUUUGUGUAUAUCUUUUUUUGUUAUAUAGACAAAUCCCCACAUUUGUAUUUAAGAUGUAGUCAGGCAUGUCUAAAACUUAAAAUAAAAAAAAUCUAACAUUCCUUCCAUAUUUGUCUUAUGGGUCAUUAAAUCUCAAUUAAUGUGAUCUUCCAUACUAUCAUCAAGCUUAGUGUGAUUACUGUGUUCCCGU